GUGCUGGCUUCAGCAGCACAUAUACUGAAACUGGAAGGAUACAGAGAAGAUUAGCGUGGCCCCUGUGCAAAGAUAACACACAAAGUCGUGAAGUGGUCCAUAUUUUU
ensembl:snRNA U6 U6 spliceosomal RNA